AGCACUUGUAUCUGUUUUUGUCUAACUUGUACAGUAAGAGUUAUGGACAGGUGCAAAAGACAAAUCCUCUUUCACAACCCAGAACUUACUGUUCAGUAUGGGUUUUGAUACACAAAAAGGAAUAUA
ensembl:snoRNA